GGCUCAGGAUGAACGCUAGCGACAGGCCUAACACAUGCAAGUCGAGGGGCAGCACAAGGAGCAAUCUGAGGUGGCGACCGGCGCACGGGUGGGUAACACGUAUGCAACCUGCCUGUAAGCGGGGAAUAACCCGUUGAAAGACGGACUAAUACCGCAUAAUACUAAAUUACUGCAUGGUAAUUUAUUUAAACAUUUAUGGCUUACAGAUGGGCAUGCGCAUGAUUAGCUAGUUGGAGAGGUAACGGCUCCCCAAGGCAACGAUCAUUAGGGGUUCUGAGAGGAAGGUCCCCCACACUGGUACUGAGACACGGACCAGACUCCUACGGGAGGCAGCAGUGAGGAAUAUUGGUCAAUGGACGAGAGUCUGAACCAGCCAAGUCGCGUGCAGGAAGAAUGUCCCUAUGGAUUGUAAACUGCUUUUGCAGGGGAAUAAAGUGCAUCACGUGUGAUGUUUUGUAUGUACUCUGCGAAUAAGGAUCGGCUAACUCCGUGCCAGCAGCGGC
rnacentral:rRNA from 1 species